UCACUCUCUCUUUAACAACAUCUUCACACACAAAUCUUCUUCUUCAUCAUCUCUCUCUUUUAUAAAGUCAGCGCCGUCCUUUGUCUCCAUUCUCAUUUCCUCCGAGAACCCAACACAGUAGCAGCUCAAGAAGAAGAAGAUUUCAAGAAUCACACCCAAAACAGAGUUAAAAAAAAAAGAGAAGUUGAAGAUUUUUCAUUAAUGGAGGACGAUUGGGAUCUACAAGCGGUGGUUAGAGGUUGUUGUAAUACAGCCGCUUCAUCAUCUUCAUAUUCUGCUGCUGCUGCUACAACAUCUUCUGCUACUGCAUAUUGUUCAAGAGUGGUGAAACAGGAGGAAGAGAGUAAUCAUCAGUUUUUAUCUGUUUUGCCAUCUUCAGAUCUAUUUUGUUCUUCAUCUUCUUCGUUGAGAAAUGAUGUUGUUGGAGUUGAAGAUCUUGAACAGCUUUAUAAACCCUUUUUUAAUACUUCUUCUCCAUUGUUAUCAUCAUCACCUCAACAGCAGUUACAGCAAGAACAACAACAACCCAUGAUUUCAUCUUCUCCAAAAAGUAACAGUACUAAUCUGUUUGCACCACCAUUAACAGCAACAAAAAUGGUUACUUCUUGUUCUUUUUCAUCUUCUCCAAUGGUGUUAGGAGGAUUGCAAAUACAAUCUCAAAAACCCCAUCAACAACAACAACAAAUACAACAACAGCAUCAACAGAAGCAGAAACAGCAAAUUCAUCAUCAUCAUCGUCCUCUUACCGGUGGUUCUAUGAUUUCUACUCAAUCUCAAACUCCUAGACCCAAAAGAAGGAAGAAUCAACAAAAGAGGGUAGUAUGUCAAGUACCAGCAGAAGGAUUAUCAUCUGAUAUGUGGGCAUGGCGUAAAUACGGUCAGAAACCUAUUAAAGGCUCUCCUUAUCCAAGAGGAUAUUACAGAUGCAGUAGCUCGAAAGGAUGUUUAGCAAGAAAACAAGUUGAAAGAAGCAGAUCAGAUCCAUCAAUGUUCAUCAUCACAUACACAGCUGAACAUAAUCAUGCCGUUCCAACUCAUCGGAAUUCAUUAGCCGGUAGUACUCGUCAUAAAUUCUCUUCAUCAUCAUCAGGCCAAAAACAGAGUAGCAACGGAUCAGAUCAUGAUCAAGAAUCAAACAAGCCACUGAUUUCUGCAUCUUCUCCGACGAUAUCGUCACCGAGUAACAAUAAUUUAUCACCAACAACACCGUUAAUGAGUACAUCAAUGGAUGAAGAUGAUUCAAAUGCAUUGAUCAAACAGGAGUUACUAGAUGAGUUGGAUUCUCAAGAUGAUUUGGAUGAUAUGAUUUUAUCUGAUGAUUUCUUCAACGGUUUAGAUGAUGAUUUCGUUGGUGGUGCUGGUGAUUCAAUCAACGGUGGUAAUUCUUCUUCGACAACAACAGCAACAACAGAUCCUGUUUUUGAUGAUUGUCUGAUUAAUUCUACUAAUUUCCCUUCUCCUUGGUUCAUCAACAAUAACGCCACCACCGCUGGCGGCGGUAGUUAGCUGAAACUGGUGGCUGAAGAAAAACAGUAAAUUCAGUGUUCAUUUUGGUUUUUUCUUUUUUUGGUUUUUUUAGUGAGAGCAAAAAUAUAGAUAGUGCAGAGAGAAAAGAGAGUAAAGAAAAGAAUCUUUUCUCUUCCACCACCACCACCUCUAGGUCCACCACCACCAUCACCGCCGCAAGGUCCACCACCACCAUUAGCAGCAUUAUGAUUCCCAGUUUUACAGCAUCAUUAACAAAACUGUUGUUGCGGUUGAUUCCUUGUCUCGAGGUACAAAACCGCGUCACCGACUCCGAGUUUAACUCGUGUGGGGUAGUGUAAGUGGGUGGUGGUGGCGUAUUGGGCCGAGAGAUACUAAAAAGGGAAAGCUGUAGGGAGCGGAAAGUGGAAUCAAGUGGGUCCCGUGAUGAACCACAGAAAAUGGAUAGCCUAAGUGGAAAUGGGAUUACUUUCCAUAACACGUGAUACCAGUGCAAAGGAAAUGCACACGUCUUAUAGGUUCGCGAGUCCAGAUUCCGGUGAGGAUUUACCGGGGUUCCGGUGAAAGUAUGAUACAAAUUUUACUUAUUAUAUAUACGUUCAUUUCU